rnacentral:rRNA from 1 species
UAGCUGCGCCACUAAGCCUAGAGGCCCCACAGCUAAUAUACAUCGUUUACGGGAUGGACAACCAGGGUAUCUAAUCCUGUUUGCCCCCCCUGCUUUCCCACCUCAGCGUCAGUAUUAGGCCAGAUGGCUGCCUUCCCCAUCGGUAUUCCUCCAAAUUACUACGCAUUUCACCGCUACACCUGGAAUUCUACCCUCCUCUCCCAUAAUCUAACUUACCAGUAUCGAAUGCCAUUCCGAAGUUAAGCUCGGGGAUUUCACAUUCGAAUUAAAUAGCCCCCUACCCGCGUUUUACCCCCAGAAAAUCCAAAAAACGGUUGCCCCCUCUGUAUUACCGCGGCUGGUGGGAAAGAAUUAGCCGGUGCUUAUUCUGCGAGGAACGUCCACUAUCCCAGAGUAUUAAUCUCGGCAGCCUCCUCCUCGCUUAAAGUGCUUUACAACCAAAAGGCCUUCUUCACACACGCGGGAUGGCUGGAACAUGCUUCCCCCCAUUGUCCAAUAUUCCCCACUGCUGCCUCCC